ensembl:lncRNA
CUUAGACCUAAAUGUCUAUGGAUUGUUGAUGGAUCGUUGAUGUCACCCCUUGGGUUACUAAAAUAACUAAGUUCCAGGAAGACUUCACACAGUGAGUGUGCCGUCAGUACCAGCUGAUCUUGGGGCAGGGUAGCCUAGUGGUUAGAGCGUUGGACUAGUAACCGAAAGGUUGCAAGUUCGAAUAAAAGUAAAAUUAAAAAAUAAGUCCUUGUAUGUCGAUUUAUCCCUGAUUGACCCACAUUCACUGAGUCCUGAACAUAACCUAAUACGGGUUCACUUUAACUGCUCUUAUUUUGGCACAAAAGUGAGAGGUCUAUCACUCCUGAGUCUGUCUGGUGUGUUGCGAGGUGAUCCUUUCCAGUCAGGUCCUAUCCUCUCCUGUCAGGUCCUCUCCUCUCCUGUCAGGUCCUCUCCUCUCCUGUCAGGUCCUCUCCUCUCCUGUCAGGUCCUCUCCUCUCCUGUCAGGUCCUCUCCUCUCCUGUCAGGUCC